rnacentral:rRNA from 1 species
AGUGAACGCUGGCGGUAGGCCUAACACAUGCAAGUCGAACGGCAGCACAGUAAGAGCUUGCUCUUACGGGUGGCGAGUGGCGGACGGGUGCGGAAUACAUCGGAAUCUCCUUUUUCGUGGGGGAUAACGUAGGGAAACUUACGCUAAUACCGCAUACGACCUACGGGUGAAAGCAGGGGAUCUUCGGACCUUGCGCGAUUGAAUGAGCCGAUGUCGGAUUAGCUAGUUGGCGGGGUAACGGCCCACCAAGGCGACGAUCCGUAGCUGGUCUGAGAGGAUGAUCGGCGACACUGGGACAGAGACACGGUCCAGACUCCUACGGGAGGCAGCAGUGGGGAAUAUUGGACAAUGGGCGCAAGCCUGAUCCAGCCAUACCGCGUGGGUGAAGAAGGCCUUCGGGUUGUAAAGCCCUUUUGUUGGGAAAGAAAAGCAGCAGGUUAAUACCCCGCUGUUCUGACGGUACCCAAAGAAUAAGCACCGGCUAACUUCGUG